GGUUAAGCGACUAAGCGUACACGGUGGAUGCCCUGGCAGUCAGAGGCGAUGAAGGGCGUGCUAAUCUGCGAUAAGCGCCGGUAAGGUGAUAUGAACCGUUAUAACCGGCGAUACCCGAAUGGGGAAACCCAGUGUGAUUCGUCACACUAUCAUUAACUGAAUCCAUAGGUUAAUGAGGCGAACCGGGGGAACUGAAACAUCUAAGUACCCCGAGGAAAAGAAAUCAACCGAGAUUCCCCCAGUAGCGGCGAGCGAACGGGGAGGAGCCCAGAGCCUGAAUCAGCAUGUGUGUUAGUGGAAGCGUCUGGAAAGGCGCGCGAUACAGGGUGACAGCCCCGUACACAAAAGCGCAUGUGCUGUGAGCUCGAUGAGUAGGGCGGGACACGUGGUAUCCUGUCUGAAUAUGGGGGGACCAUCCUCCAAGGCUAAAUACUCCUGACUGACCGAUAGUGAACCAGUACCGUGAGGGAAAGGCGAAAAGAACCCCGGCGAGGGGAGUGAAAAAGAACCUGAAACCGUGUACGUACAAGCAGUGGGAGCACAGGUUUACCUGUGUGACUGCGUACCUUUUGUAUAAUGGGUCAGCGACUUAUAUUCUGUAGCAAGGUUAACCGUAUAGGGGAGCCGUAGGGAAACCGAGUCUUAACCGGGCGUUAAGUUGCAGGGUAUAGACCCGAAACCCGGUGAUCUAGCCAUGGGCAGGUUGAAGGUUGGGUAACACUAACUGGAGGACCGAACCGACUAAUGUUGAAAAAUUAGCGGAUGACCUGUGGCUGGGGGUGAAAGGCCAAUCAAACCGGGAGAUAGCUGGUUCUCCCCGAAAGCUAUUUAGGUAGCGCCUCGUGAAUUCAUCUCCGGGGGUAGAGCACUGUUUCGGCUAGGGGGCCAUCCCGGCUUACCAACCCGAUGCAAACUGCGAAUACCGGAGAAUGUUAUCACGGGAGACACACGGCGGGUGCUAACGUCCGUCGUGAAGAGGGAAACAACCCAGACCGCCAGCUAAGGUCCCAAAGUCAUGGUUAAGUGGGAAACGAUGUGGGAAGGCCCAGACAGCCAGGAUGUUGGCUUAGAAGCAGCCAUCAUUUAAAGAAAGCGUAAUAGCUCACUGGUCGAGUCGGCCUGCGCGGAAGAUGUAACGGGGCUAAACCAUGCACCGAAGCUACGGCAGCGAACGUAUCACCCAAGACAACUUUACGGAGUUGACGAUUGACGGAGCGAAGCGACGUCAAAGCGUUCAUUAAAGUCGAGUUGGCUUAGGGAUACGUUCGUUGGGUAGGGGAGCGUUCUGUAAGCCUGUGAAGGUGUGUCGUGAGGCAUGCUGGAGGUAUCAGAAGUGCGAAUGCUGACAUAAGUAACGAUAAAGCGGGUGAAAAGCCCGCUCGCCGGAAGACCAAGGGUUCCUGUCCAACGUUAAUCGGGGCAGGGUGAGUCGACCCCUAAGGCGAGGCCGAAAGGCGUAGUCGAUGGGAAACGGGUUAAUAUUCCCGUACUUGGUGUUACUGCGAAGGGGGGACGGAGAAGGCUAUGUUGGCCGGGCGACGGUUGUCCCGGUUUAAGCGUGUAGGUGUGUGUUCCAGGUAAAUCCGGUUCACUUUAACACUGAGGCGUGAUGACGAGGCACUACGGUGCUGAAGCAACAAAUGCCCUGCUUCCAGGAAAAGCCUCUAAGCAUCAGGUAACAUCAAAUCGUACCCCAAACCGACACAGGUGGUCAGGUAGAGAAUACCAAGGCGCUUGAGAGAACUCGGGUGAAGGAACUAGGCAAAAUGGUGCCGUAACUUCGGGAGAAGGCACGCUGACACGUAGGUGAAGUGAUUUACUCAUGGAGCUGAAGUCAGUCGAAGAUACCAGCUGGCUGCAACUGUUUAUUAAAAACACAGCACUGUGCAAACACGAAAGUGGACGUAUACGGUGUGACGCCUGCCCGGUGCCGGAAGGUUAAUUGAUGGGGUCAGCGCAAGCGAAGCUCCUGAUCGAAGCCCCGGUAAACGGCGGCCGUAACUAUAACGGUCCUAAGGUAGCGAAAUUCCUUGUCGGGUAAGUUCCGACCUGCACGAAUGGCGUAAUGAUGGCCAGGCUGUCUCCACCCGAGACUCAGUGAAAUUGAACUCGCUGUGAAGAUGCAGUGUACCCGCGGCAAGACGGAAAGACCCCGUGAACCUUUACUAUAGCUUGACACUGAACAUUGAGCCUUGAUGUGUAGGAUAGGUGGGAGGCUUUGAAGCGUGGACGCCAGUCUGCGUGGAGCCGACCUUGAAAUACCACCCUUUAAUGUUUGAUGUUCUAACGUGGACCCGUGAUCCGGGUUGCGGACAGUGUCUGGUGGGUAGUUUGACUGGGGCGGUCUCCUCCUAAAGAGUAACGGAGGAGCACGAAGGUUGGCUAAUCCUGGUCGGACAUCAGGAGGUUAGUGCAAUGGCAUAAGCCAGCUUGACUGCGAGCGUGACGGCGCGAGCAGGUGCGAAAGCAGGUCAUAGUGAUCCGGUGGUUCUGAAUGGAAGGGCCAUCGCUCAACGGAUAAAAGGUACUCCGGGGAUAACAGGCUGAUACCGCCCAAGAGUUCAUAUCGACGGCGGUGUUUGGCACCUCGAUGUCGGCUCAUCACAUCCUGGGGCUGAAGUAGGUCCCAAGGGUAUGGCUGUUCGCCAUUUAAAGUGGUACGCGAGCUGGGUUUAGAACGUCGUGAGACAGUUCGGUCCCUAUCUGCCGUGGGCGCUGGAGAACUGAGGGGGGCUGCUCCUAGUACGAGAGGACCGGAGUGGACGCAUCACUGGUGUUCGGGUUGUCAUGCCAAUGGCACUGCCCGGUAGCUAAAUGCGGAAGAGAUAAGUGCUGAAAGCAUCUAAGCACGAAACUUGCCCCGAGAUGAGUUCUCCCUGAGACUUAAAGUCUCCUGAAGGAACGUUGAAGACGACGACGUUGAUAGGCCGGGUGUGUAAGCGCAGCGAUGCGUUGAGCUAACCGGUACUAAUGAACCGUGAGGCUUAACCUU
rnacentral:rRNA from 1 species